rnacentral:rRNA from 1 species
AUGGUAACGUUGCAGAUGCCAUUUAUCCGGAUGGGAGAGACCAUGGUCUUGAGCGCCACCAUGCAAUUUGCACACACUAUGGUGAAGAUGCUUGGAGUAGAGUACCCAAGAGAGGCAACUGUGAAGUACAUAGAAAAGGCAAUUGGAGCAUUAAGAGGAUUCUCAUGUAUACUUGGUUUAGUUGAUUGCAUGCACGGACAAUGGAAGAACUGCCUAAAAGCUUUGUGUGGGCAGUACCAAGGUCACGUCAAAGAAGCCACCAUCAUACUUGAAGCAGUGGCAUCGAAGGACUUGUGGAUUUGGCAUGCUUUCUUUGGCACGUCUGGUUCUAACAAUGACGUCAAUGUGCUCCAAUGA